rnacentral:sRNA from 1 species
GCUGGGUGUGGUGGUGCACACCUGUAAUCCCAGCAGCUCGGGAGACUGAGGCAGGAGGAUCACGAGUUCAAAGCCAGCCUCAGCAAAAGUGAGGCACUAAGCAACUCAGUGAAGCCCUGUCUCUA